UAUAAUAAGUUGGCGCCUUGGCAGCCUCUUCCUAUUGUUCACAGAAACAAAAAACCUCCGCCUGGAAUAAUAAAAACCUUUUGACAAUCAACCCUAAACGACCAUCUCCCCAACCACCCAAGUUAUGCUUUAAUUGAUGAUUUCAAUGCGGAAUCCACCCGCGCACGCAAAUUGGAAUGGCCACACGCUCUUAUCCCGCCCCCACCAUUAACUCUGCUGUUUCCUAUACUCCGUGCUACUCCUAUAAGCGCGCUCUACACUUUGAAAAUUCAGGAUUUUUGGUUAGCUGCCCAACAAAUAAGAAGAAAAGCCAGCACAAAAUGUACAAUAAUUGCAAGCAAGCACAGGUAUUGCAAUGGUCCCAAAUGAACAGCAAUGCAGAAUGGCAAGUGUUAUAGUUAGCCCUGUAACAAUAAAGGAAGUUUGAAGCCAGAAGCUAGAGUGUUGUUGGUUACUUUCAAAGAGGGGACAGCAUACAAAUCACACUAGGACUAGAAAGAUCCAUAACCACACAAAAUAUCAAAUGCAAUGUAGAAAAACCAGCAACAGUAGUAAAAUAGAAAAAAAAAUCCGCGAAGCAAGUAAAGGAAAGACAUUCCAUUCUGCUGCUACUUAAAACAUAACCUUACAUACCUGCAUAAUCAAUGCAUCAUCUAAUGUAUUGUGCAGAAGUUCAGCUCCAUCUUGUUCACCAUGAAUGUUCCUGCCUACAAGCGUAAGAAGUCAAGGAAUAAAUUAUAAUUUCCAAUGAAAAGCCAAGUAGAUACGAAGGGGCUGGCAUCAAGUAGAUAUCUUUAUAAACUCACAGGAGUAAUUUGAGAAAAGAGUAAAAAUACGACUCAGGUUUAAUAAAAGCAUUAAGUUAUAGGAAA
rnacentral:lncRNA from 1 species